CCUAGAGUUGUAGGCUUUGCCUGCUAUCUCUUACCCAUGUCUUUUGAGUACCUUCGUUUCCUCGGCGGGUCCGCCCGCCGAUUGGGACAAUUUAAACCAUUUGCAGUUGCAAUCAGCGUCUGAAAAAACUUAAUAGUUA
rnacentral:misc_RNA from 1 species